rnacentral:lncRNA from 1 species
GAGAAGCUUGAGAAAAUGCAAGUCAAGAACUUUAUAUCUAGCCAAGCUGUUCUUCAAAUGUUAACAAUAUAGAAAAGCAGUUUUGAAGACGAAAGAACACAAGAAUACUGUGCCCACGUGUCCUUUCUGACGAAUCCACUGCAGAAUUAAGUGUACUUUAUUCAACUAAGAGCUGACUGCAGACACUUCAGCAGGAGGAUUGAAGGUGGGCUUCUACAUAUUUCAUAUAUAGAUCUAGGACUAACACAAGGUUGGAGAUAUGGGUAUAAGAAUGGUAGUUAAACAUUGCAUUUUCUAACAGAAUAGAAACAGUACAAUUUUUAAAAUGGGAGAAGUGGGUAAGAACGUAGAAUAAGAUCAUUGAAUUUACACUAUAAGUAAUAGCCAAAAGAUAUGGUAAAAGGUUAAAAAAUUCUUAAAAAGGUAAUAAAGAGUACUACAAAGGUAACCAUUAGAACAAAAUUAAACAUUUUCCUAAAUACCAAAAGGAAUUUUCUAAAAAGGAAAGAAAGUACACAAAGAGCAUUUUAAAAAUAGGUUUGAUGAUUAAAUUCAGCCAAAAAAAGAACUGGUUUUUCAGUUUAUUUUAUACAAAACAAGAAAAUUACAUGCAAGUGGUAAGCUCCUAUGCACCAAGUGUUUAGCUUAGAAAAAUAAAAUACUCCUAGGAAACAAUUUAUCUUUUGUUCACAGGACAGUCAAAUAGAUCUAAUAGCGCAUCAGUUCUAGAUGAGUACUUAAACCGAAUGAAAAGCAGCCCAACAGCAGCUACUUUGCACCAACCACUUACUAUGUCUAGCUUGCCUGCUGGUCACUUUAUAGUAAGCCUUCACUGCAACACUGAGGCAUUAUUUUUAUGGAUGAGCAAACUGAGGCUCAGAGAAGUUAACAAUUAGCAGUAGGUCACUUCAUUAUAAAUGGCAGAACCAAGCUUUAAGUAUAAGUGUGUUGACACCAAGGCAAUGUGUCUUUGCUACUUUGUGGUAGGACACUGUUUUCCUUCCAUAUCUCUUUCUGUCAUCAGGUUCUAGCCCAGAAUACUGGCCAUUUUUUAGCUAUUCAGUGCGAGCAUUGAGUGAAAUUGUGAAUUUGCCUGUCACUGACUCCAGGGAAGAGACGAGUCAAUCAACUCUGACGAAUCAAGAUUUCCAGAAGAUCUAAAGCCCCCUUGCCUCUCUUUUUCUCAGCUACCCAUCAAAUAAGAGAACCCAUUGCAGAACCAGAAGGGACAUCAUCCAAGCUGUCUGAAAUCCCGGUUGGUACUCCAGGCUUCAACAACUGCAGCACAAUGAGAGACAGCAAAGAACAUCCUGGCCUUUGACAACCCCCUGUCUUCUAACAUACUGAGGUUAAUCAGACCGAGGACAAUUUGGAAGGGGCUCUCUGCCACAACUUGGGGAGUGGAGGUAGGGAAGGCCAUAGGAGCCCCAGCAGGUAGGCCACAUAGCCUGAGUUAUGGAAUCUAACUCCAGUCUGUCUUCCAAAUAUUUCUGGGGUGUCAGAUCUAUGGUAGCCUGAGAGGCAUAUUCUGAAGCCAUUUCCCUCCUAGAGAUCUCGGACUUCUUUCAGCUUCUUGAUGUUAUUACACUAAGAGAAUAUGAACACCUCCUUACAGCAAAUGCUGUAGUUAUAAAACAGUUCACCAAAGAACCUAUGUUUCCUUGAAAACCAAAAGACAAUGCAAAAAGAAAAAUCAUUUUAAAAAAGAUCUUCAAAAAAGGCUUGAUAAUUGCAUAAUUUAAAGGACCCCAGGGAAGUCUCAAUGCUACAUAGGUCCUGGGAGAAGGCACCUGAACUACAUGCCUUGGUGAACUGCAUUUCUUUUAGCUUCUCUGCUUGGAAUCAUGAGGUCCCUAGCGUAUGCUGAAUUUUGAAGGCUGAUGAGCGUUUUGGGCUCUUCCCUGCUGACAUCACCCUAUUUCCUUGGGGACCCCAGGCUCUCAGCUGUAGAAGACUCUCAGACAGACACACAUUGCCCAAACAUGCUACCCUGCACACGUGCUAAACUCUGAGGCUCCUGUGGAGUUGUGUGUCGUACUCCUCAGCUCCAGACCACUGUGUCCUGCCCUGGCCUCCACCCAGCCCUGAUGGAGGCCCCAACAUAUGUGCCUCAACCCACACAGGCCCCAGAGUUUGGCAAAGUGUCCCACACGCAAUAACUUUUGAGUCAGUGGUGCCUGCCCACCCACCUGCCCCCACCCCCACCUUCCCCACCAUCUGCAAUGUCUGUCUUGGAGCCUACUGAUGAACUAAUUAAUGUAUCUUACAUAUUCCUGAUACGGUAAAUUCAUGGGCUCAGGGAAGCGUAUUUUGUAUUUUUUCUAAUUUGUGCUUCCCCUGGACAGUUCACCAAUACCCUGCUGCAGGUGCUUACAUUUAAUGUCAUCAGGAAGCAGUGAAUAUAAAUGUGCAAUAAAUGCGCAGCUGUCCUUGGGUUCUGCACAAGCAGUACUUUAAAAGUAAAUAAUGAGCUAAAAGAACAAACUUAGAGGGUAAUUUCCAACCUCCUUCCUGUCUCUAACACCAUGAAGUUUCACUGUAUCGGUUGCAUCUUUUGGCAUUGUUCAUAUACUACGUGCCUGGAUUCUGUUUCUUGAACUUGUUGGGAAAUGGAAUCAUACUGGGGAUGGCUCCGAGUUCCUUAUAACCAUAGCAUUAGUUUCAGAGUGUUCCCUAUAGUAAUAAUAAAAAGCUUCAAAACAUGCUGAAAAUGUUUUAGAACAUGGUAGCUUCAAAGACGUUUGUUAAAAGGAUAGGCUGGUCUGCAUGGUGGCUGUUUUACUGCUUUUCUAAACUUGGGUGAACCCCUGGAGGAGAAGCCCCAAACAGGGUAGUUCCACCAGCCCAGGAUGCAGCAAGGUGGACAAAUCACAGACAGGACGGGGGAGGAGCCAAGAUGACCGAAUAGGAACAGCUUCGGUCCACAGCUCCCAGCGUGAGCGAUGCAGAAGACGGGUGAUUUCUGCAUUUCCAACUGAGGGACAUGGAUGAAACUGGAAACCAUCAUUCUCAGCAAACUAUUGCAAGGACAGAAAACCGAACACCCCAUGUUCUCACUCAUAG